UGAAUACGAGACGCUAAGGCGUCGAAGUAGUGUAUGUCAUACUUCCAAGAAAAGCUUGCACUGUCAUAGAUAAAAAACGCCUGUACCAUAACCGACACAGGUGGGUAGGUAGAGUAUACUAAGGGGCGCGAGAUAACUCUCUCUAAGGAACUCGGCAAAAUAACUCCGUAACUUCGGGAGAAGGAGUGCCUUAUUCGUAAGGUUGCAAUAACAAGAUCCAAGCAACUGUUUAUCAAAAACACAGGUCUCCGCUAAGUCGUAAGACGAUGUAUGGGGGCUGACGCCUGCCCAGUGCCAGAAGGUUAAAGAAGUUGGUUAGCAAUUGCGAAGCUGAUAACUGAAGCCCUGGUGAACGGCGGCCGUAACAAUAACGGUCCUAAGGUAGCGAAAUUCCUUGUCGGGUAAGUUCCGACCCGCACGAAAGGCGUAAUGAUUUGGAUACUGUCUCGGAGAGGGGCUCGGUGAAAUAGACUUGUCUGUGAAGAUGCGGACUACCUGCACCAGGACAGAAAGACCCUAUGAAGCUUUACUGUAACUUGAAAUUGAAAUUGGACUUUAUUCGCGCAGUAUAGGUGGGAGGCGUUGAUUAUAAUCUUGUGGGAUUAUUGGAGCCAUCAGUGAGAUACCACUCUUGUAAUGUUAGAUUUCUAACUUUGAAUCAUUAUCUGGUCAAAGAACAGUUUCAGGCGGGCAGUUUGACUGGGGCGGUCGCCUCCUAAACGGUAACGGAGGCGUACAAAGGUUUCCUCUGAACGGUUAGAAAUCGUAUCUAGAGUGUAAAGGCAUAAGGAAGCUUGACUGUGAGACCUACAAGUCGAGCAGGGACGAAAGUCGGUCUUAGUGAUCUGACGGUACUGAGUGGAAAGGCCGUCACUCAAUGGAUAAAAGUUACUCUAAGGAUAACAGGCUGAUCUCCCCCAAGAGUUCACAUCGACGGGGAGGUUUGGCACCUCGAUGUCGGCUCAUCGCAUCCUGGGGCGGUAGUACGUCCCAAGGGUUGGGCUGUUCGCCCAUGAAAGCGGUACGCGAGCUGGGUUCAGAACGUCGUGAGACAGUUCGGUCCAUAUCCGGUGUAGGCGUUAGAAUAUUGAGAGGAGCCUUCUUUAGUACGAGAGGACCGAGAAGGACAUACCUCUGGUGUACCAGUUAUCGUGCCAACGGUAAACGCUGGGUAGCUAUGUAUGGAGUGGAUAACCGCUGAAAGCAUCUAAGUGGGAAGCCCACCUCAAGAUAAGUAUUCUC
rnacentral:rRNA from 1 species